UUGGACGUGGUGCACAGCGCACUCCCGCUUGUUGUCAAUGUUCCUACACCAUACAAUAAACGCCGGAAGACCGGGUUCGACUCCCGGCGUCCGAA